rnacentral:rRNA from 1 species
AUUGAACGCUGGCGGAAUGCUUUACACAUGCAAGUCGAGCGGCAGCACGGGGGCAACCCUGGUGGCGAGCGGCGAACGGGUGAGUAAUACAUCGGAACAUGCCCAGUCGUGGGGGAUAACACUUCGAAAGAAGUGCUAAUACCGCAUACGUCCGGAGGGAGAAAGCGGGGGAUCUUCGGACCUCGCGCGAUUGGAGUGGCCGAUGUCAGAUUAGCUAGUUGGUGGGGUAAAGGCCUACCAAGGCAACGAUCUGUAGCUGGUCUGAGAGGAUGAUCAGCCACACUGGGACUGAGACACGGCCCAGACUCCUACGGGAGGCAGCAGUGGGGAAUUUUGGACAAUGGGGGCAACCCUGAUCCAGCCAUUCCGCGUGAGUGAAGAAGGCCUUCGGGUUGUAAAGCUCUUUCGGCAGGAACGAAACGGUGAGCUCUAACAUAGCUUGCUAAUGACGGUACCUGAAGAAGAAGCACCGGCUAACUACGUGCCAGCAGCCGCUGUAAAAC